UACAGAGGUCUCAAGCGUUGUUCGGAUUCAUUGGGCGUAAAGGGUGCGUAGGUGGCGCGCUAAGUCAGGUGUGAAAUCUCGGGGCUUAACUCCGAAACUGCAUUUGAUACUGGCGUGCUUGAGGACUGGAGAGGAGACUGGAAUUCAUGGUGUAGCAGUGAAAUGCGUAGAGAUCAUGAGGAAGACCAGUGGCGAAGGCGGGUCUCUGGACAGUUCCUGACACUGAGGCACGAAAGCUAGGGGAGCAAACAGG
rnacentral:rRNA from 1 species